AUAUUUUAAUGUUUUGAAAAUUUAGGGACUAAGGUAUAUAUAAAGUAAAUUUUAAAUUUUAUUUAGGUUAAAAUAUAUAUAUUGAAAGAGCAAUAAUAAGUAUAUAAAUAUUGGGCUCGUUGGAUAGAUCGUAAUUAAUCAUGCAUAUUAGACUUGAGAAAAAGUUGAUUGGAUAAGUUACACUCAAAAUAUUGAAGUUUAUAGAUCUUGCCACUAAUUAUAAUUGUUUAUAAUUGUUUUGAAUAUAUAAAAGCCGUAACACGUGUGAAUUGGGUGGGCUAGAAUAAGGUAAAUUCUUCCCUUAUUGGUACGUAUAAUAAAAUAUAUAUUAUAUCAACUUUCUUGGAAAUAGUACAUAAUAAUUAUGACCUUGUACCCCAUCAUGUCAGCCAUCCUUGAUUGAAAAUAGAUAAUUUCUUUAAUUGAGUGAAAUGAAACGUGUAUAACAAAAAAAAAAAAAAAAAAACGCGUAUUUUUUGUAACGACCCAAGUCUCUGUAUCCAAGCUUUUAGCUUACGUAUUGUUCGCUCUGGGGUGAGCCUUGCGCCCACUUACCCCUCAAGGCUUUUUGUUGCGUCUUCCAGGAUUCGAACUCAUAACAUUUCCUUUAAGUAAGGCUUAAGUUGAAUUUUGGUACCAAUUGAGUAAGGCCCACCCAAAGCGAACAAUACGUAAACUAACGGUUUGGAUACAGACACCCGGGUCAUUACAAAAUCGAUCCACUUUGUUGGAAUAGAAACUGAUAAAUUGUUUAACUGGAGAUGAAUACGUGUAAAAGAAUCAAGACUUGUGAUUUAAUGUACCAAAUAUAUUAUAUUUGGGCAAGUUUAAAGAAAUUACACUUCCUUUUGAAUCACAACCCACUACUAGCCUCGAUCCUUCACAUGGGUCAUUACCUAACCACAAUUCAACAAGCAUGGAGGGAUAAUUCAUCCCAUCAAUAAACUCUAAGAGAGUCAUUACUUUUGGAGUACGGGGAGCUCUCGUAUUAGAUUAAGAGAAAGGAAUUCAACUUACAAGUAACAUUGAUAGCUUUGAAAUUUGGCAUUGGACUCAUAAAAUGAUUGUUGUUUAAAUCUAACUAGCCUAAUGGCAUAGUUGUGAAGUUAUUGGAAAUCAAACCAGCAAGUUCAUUGAUUUUAGAUUUAGAUCCUGCAAAGAUAUUUACUGAUAUUAUCUGAGAUCUUACCUGUAAAAUGAUUCCCAUGGAGCCAAAGACUGGUGAGUGACCCCAUUGAUGUAACUUUAUCAAUACGACCAGUCAAGCCAUCACCAAAUCUUCAAUUGGACAAAAGUAUAGUCAACAUUUAGCCCCCGUUUGGCUCCCAUUUUCAAAAAAUAAAAAUGGGUGGAAUGGUGUUUUUUUUUUUGAAAAAUGAGUGGUUAAAAAAGAAGUAAAAUAUUUCGAUUUACGCGUAAUAUUAUUUUAUGAAAGAUUGUGUGUUGAAAAUAGGAGAGAGAAAUAAAAUGUAAUGAAAUGUAAUUUAAUGGGGGGUCAAACGAGGGCUUAGUCUCUAAAACUCUAUGAAAUACCACCACCAACCCAAUUGAGAGAAAACUUCAAAACUGUUAAAGAUGUCAUUUUUCCAGGCAAAGAACCAGCCAAAUUUCUUAAAGGAAAGGCUUUGCGUUGGUCAUUUGAUGCAGGCCAUGCCCUCCUAGGUUUUUCAUUUAUUGAUAGAUGACGGUGGUAGAGAGAAGCCGAGUAUAAAUUGAGAAUAUGAGGGCUAAGUUAGAUACCACGUUCUGCAGUUGUUUACUUAGAAUUGGAGAUGGAACAGAAAAAUAUACUUGUAAGUGCAUUAUGCUUUCAGACAGUAUAGUUUUGUCAUUUGAAGAUGAAAUCACAUUUUUAGCAGUUUUGAUACAUCAUGUUUUUUAAAUAAAGAAGCAUAUGAUGACAAUUUCAAUUUACACAUCAAAUUUCAAUUUUGAUAUAUAUAUAUUAUCUUUUAGUUUACACAUCGAAUUUCUAUGCCCCUCAAACAGACACAAUGUACCAUAAAGGUUCUUAUUUCUUAUUCUAGAGGUAUUUUUGAUGCUGAGGCGGAGGUAAAAGGAGAAAGUGAGACCAAAGAGGAUGAAAAAAAAAAGCCUUGGGGUAUAUCUCAUUGAUUUUGAUUUAUUUUUGGUAAUACUAGAUUCUUGUAGAUGAUAGUUCUAAAUGUAUUGAUUAUUGUAUUCUGUUUUCUCGGACAGUUUUUGAUAUCUAUUUGUACUUGAUCAAUCCUUUGAUAAUACGUAACGUUUGCAAUUUUUAUAAGAACAUCAAACUUAG
rnacentral:lncRNA from 1 species